rnacentral:rRNA from 1 species
UGGGGAAUUUUGCACAAUGGGGGAAACCCUGAUGCAGCGACGCCGCGUGAUUUAGAAGGCCUUCGGGUUGUAAAAAUCUUUUGUAUGGGAAGAAAAUGACAGUACCAUACGAAUAAGGACCGGCUAAUUACGUGCCAGCAGCCGCGGUAAUACGUAAGGUCCGAGCGUUGUCCGGAAUCAUUGGGCGUAAAGGGUACGUAGGCGGAUAAGCAAGUUAGGAGUGAAAUCCUAUAGCUCAACUAUAGUAAGCUUUUAAAACUGCUCAUCUUGAGGUAUGGAAGGGAAAGUGGAAUUCCUAGUGUAGCGGUGAAAUGCGCAGAUAUUAGGAGGAAUACCGGUGGCGAAGGCGACUUUCUGGCCAUAUACUGACGCUGAGGUACGAAAGCGUGGGUAGCAAACAGG